rnacentral:rRNA from 1 species
GACGAACGCUGGCGGCAUGCCUAACACAUGCAAGUCGAACGGAGAUUCUUUCGGUACUCUUAGUGGCGAACGGGUGAGUAACGCGUGGGCAACCUGCCCUCUAGAUGGGGACAACAUCCCGAAAGGGGUGCUAAUACCGAAUGUGACAGCAAUCUCGCAUGAGGAUGCUGUGAAAGAUGGCCUCUAUUUAUAAGCUAUCGCUAGAGGAUGGGCCUGCGUCUGAUUAGCUAGUUGGUGGGGUAACGGCCUACCAAGGCGAUGAUCAGUAGCCGGUCUGAGAGGAUGAACGGCCACAUUGGGACUGAGACACGGCCCAGACUCCUACGGGAGGCAGCAGUGGGGAAUCUUCCGCAAUGGGCGAAAGCCUGACGGAGCAAUGCCGCGGGAGUGAUGAAGGAAUUCGUUCCGUAAAGCUCUUUUGUUUAUGACGAAUGUGCAGAUUGUGAACAAUGAUCUGUAAUGACGGUAGUAAACGAAUAAGCCACGGCUAACUACGUG